rnacentral:rRNA from 1 species
AAAUUACCCAAUCCCAACGCGGGGAGGUAGUGACAAGAAAUAACAACAACUAACCUAUUUCAGGUGAGUUGAUUGGAAUGAGUACAAUCUAAACACCUUAACGACUAUCCAUUGGAGGGCAAGCCUGGUGCCAGCAGCCGCGGUAAUUCCAGCUCCAAUAGCGUAUACUAAUGUUGUUGCAGUUAAAAAGCUCGUAGUCGGAUUUCAGCAGGCUCAGUUAAGUCUCUUCUAUUGAGUUCUUUAUGGGCCUGCUUCUUUGACAGAAACUUCUAUGUUAUUCAUUUAGCGUGGGUAGCGACUGUCUCUUUUACUUUGAGAAAAUUAGAGUGUUCAAAGCAGGUAUUCGCCUGAAUAUUACUCUUGGAAUAAUGCUAUAAGACUUUGGUUCUAAUGUAUUGGUGAUUGGGACCAGAGUAAUGAUUGAUAGGGACGGUUGGGGUCUUACGUACUGCAAAGCGAGAGGUGAAAUUCUUGGACCUUUGUAUGACGAACAACUGCGAAAGCAUUGGACUAGGACGUUCCCGUUGAUCAAGAACGAAAGUUGGGGGAUCGAAGACGAUCAGAUACCGUCGUAGUCUCAACCAUAAACUAUGCCAGCUAGGGAUCGGAGGACGUUACAUGUUCGACUCC